rnacentral:misc_RNA from 1 species
ACGCGCCGGCUGCUGCCCGUG